rnacentral:rRNA from 1 species
UACGUAGGGGGCAAGCGUUGUCCGGAUUUAUUGGGCGUAAAGAGCGUGUAGGCGGCCAUACAGGUCCGUUGUGAAAACUGGAGGCUUAACCUCCAGACGUCGAUGGAAACCAUCUGGCUAGAGUCCGGAAGAGGAGAGUGGAAUUCCUGGUGUAGCGGUGGAAUGCGCAGAUAUCAGGAGGAACACCAAUAGCGAAGGCAGCUCGCUGGGACGUUACUGACACUGAGGCGCGAAAGCUAGGGGAGCAAACAGG